ensembl:lncRNA
AGCCUGCAACUGCCUGGUGGGGUUUGCAGAGGACCCUUGACUUUGGUGUCUGUGGCUUGUUCUGCUCUAGCAACUUCUCAGUCUUUAUCUCCUCAGUUAGCAUAUUCCUCUCUAUAAAAGGAAAAAAACAGGCUUUCUUCUAAAAAAAUCUUCUCUGCUUUCUACCCACAUCAACCCAAGGAGCCAGUAGGCAUAAAAGACUUUCCCUCCGUUCAAAAAAGAUAGAUAAGAUUAUUUACCAAUAGUUGUACCAUGUGAGGAAACUUCGAGUUUUUCUCUGAAAAGAUUUAAUGAUAUUCUGCGUUCCCAGGUGGUGGUAGGUGUAAAGAACCUGCAUGCCAGUUUUUACAAAAGAUGUAAGAGAAGCAGUUUUGAUCCCUGGGUCAGCAAGAUCCCCUGGAGGAGGGCAUGGGUACCCAUUCCAGUAUUCUCUCUUGAAGAAUCCCAUGGACAGAGGACCCUGGUGGGCUACAGUUCAUAGGGUCUCAAAAAGUCGGACACGGCCGAAGCCAUUUAGCACGCACGUUCUUCACAAUGAUCUAAGGACUCACACAGGAGCAAGGCGAAGUGGGAGUUUUUCUGAAAUAGAAGUGGUUCUGGAGCUUAGAUAUGAAACACCCAGCUCCUUCCUCUCCUUUCCCAGUGAGGAAAUGGCCAUUAAUUGCAGUCCUUAAGGUAAUAGUAUCAUCAUUCCUUAAUAUUGCUGGUUCAAUAUUUUGAGACAGUAAGAAUGAAAAUAAAUAGCAAAGAAAACAUUCAUAGGAUCAAAUUUGUGACUGACACAAAACACUGAAAGAAGGGGCACUAAGAAAUUAUUCUGCGCGUAAGGCAUCCACAGAAAGAUGAAGAAAAGAAGUUCAAAAAAUGCCAGGAUGAUGCAAAGAAGGAAGGGUCUGUCUAUCUGAUCCAGUAUUCCGAGGCAGUUGUGGGCCACCCAGUGGGAGUAGGCGGCGAGCAUGGAUUGUUCCUCUCCAUGAAUGAAACCAUACUGACCUUGCAGACGAUCCUCUCUCUUUACCUCUGGAUACAGUUCUUACACUAGUCAGAAUCAUCUAUGGGAGCUUUGGAAAGUGGAAUUAAAUCUAAUCUAACCUCAGCAACAUUGAGGUUAAAAAGUAUCAGAAGAUGGUGUACUCUGGUUGCCAGGAGGAACACGGUGUGGAGAGGGUGGGCAUCAAACUGCCAUGGCUGUGAUUCAGACAUGAGGACAUGGUAACAGUAGCAAAGAACAAAAGGAGACAUGAGACACAUUUCAAAGGCAAGAUCUGUAUGGCUUAGUGAUUGAUGAGAUAUGGAGCUCUAUAUAGAAGUUUCCUUGAGGACAGUAUUUGUGCCCUAGACAAGCUACAGUGGCUAACACGGUACCUGCCAAUCAAAUGUGCUUUGAAUGAAAUGGGCUGAAGAUGAUUGUUAGGCUGGGAGAAAUCUGGUGCCAUUAACAAGAUUAAAAGAUAAAGAAAGCAAG